rnacentral:rRNA from 1 species
GAGUUUGAUCCUGGCUCAGAUUGAACGCUGGCGGCAGGCUUAACACAUGCAAGUCGAGCGGGGAAAGGUAGCUUGCUACUGGACCUAGCGGCGGACGGGUGAGUAAUGCUUAGGAAUCUGCCUAUUAGUGGGGGACAACAUUCCGAAAGGAAUGCUAAUACCGCAUACGUCCUACGGGAGAAAGCAGGGGACCUUCGGGCCUUGCGCUAAUAGAUGAGCCUAAGUCGGAUUAGCUAGUUGGUGGGGUAAAGGCCUACCAAGGCGACGAUCUGUAGCGGGUCUGAGAGGAUGAUCCGCCACACUGGGACUGAGACACGGCCCAGACUCCUACGGGAGGCAGUAGUGGGGAAUAUUGGACAAUGGGGGGAACCCUGAUCCAGCCAUGCCGCGUGUGUGAAGAAGGCCUUAUGGUUGUAAAGCACUUUAAGCGAGGAGGAGGCUACUAGUAUUAAUACUACUGGAUAGUGGACGUUACUCGCAGAAUAAGCACCGGCUAACUCUGUGCCAGCAGCCGCGGUAAUACAGAGGGUGCGAGCGUUAAUCGGAUUUACUGGGCGUAAAGCGUGCGUAGGCGGCCAUUUAAGUCAAAUGUGAAAUCCCCGAGCUUAACUUGGGAAUUGCAUUCGAUACUGGAUGGCUAGAGUAUGGGAGAGGAUGGUAGAAUUCCAGGUGUAGCGGUGAAAUGCGUAGAGAUCUGGAGGAAUACCGAUGGCGAAGGCAGCCACCUGGCCUAAUACUGACGCUGAGGUACGAAAGCAUGGGGAGCAAACAGGAUUAGAUACCCUGGUAGUCCACGCUG